GAACUUUCCAAUGUCUUCCUGCAUCCUCACGUAUUUCCUCUCUCUCCCUCUCCUCUUCCUCACGUAUAAAACCCGCUCUCAUCACAGUCGAACAUGACCAGGAUGAUGGUAGAAGAAACCAAAGAGAAGGAAGAAGAACCCAAGUACUCACACAUCUAACCAGGAAGAAGGAAGAAAAAAUAUGCAACCAAACGUCCCUGCUUCCAUAUCCGCCCUAUUCACUGCCAAAGUUCGAUAUCGAGCCAUUGAUUGCGUCAAUUAAGGUUCGUUUCACAGCACUUUUAAAAAUUGCGAUUAUGUGAUGUUCCAUGUGAAUUUUCUAAUUACACUCAUGAAUUAAUUGCGAAUAUUACCUUUAUUUUGGAGUUAUCGUACUUAGGAUAUCGAUCGUUGAAUUGGAAUUCUUUCUGCUUCUUUUCCAUUGUAAUUUAUCAUUGACUUAUAUUUAGUGUAAAAAAUAAAAAAAGGGGGAGAAAAUGGCUAUUUCUUUCACUACAUUACCAUGGGGGUGGUUGGCUGGUACAGAGAAAGAGCAAGUCUUGAAUGGGACAUCAAUGAAUUCAAUAAAUUUUUCCUUCACCCAGUUGCAGCUUCUUUUCUCCAUUUUAAUCAAAAAGCUUUUCCAGAAAGUGCUGGAGCCUUUACUUUUUAUUUCUCAAUUUUCUGGAAGGCGAAUUUAAGGGACAUUGUCAAUCAAACUAUUAAAUGACAAAACUGUAUUCAGCAACAAAGAAAUAAAAAAGGAUGGUUUAUAUCUAUCAGUUAAUUUAUAUCAUGUGUAACAAUGGUAUGCUGGUAAUCGUCCAUUUAUAUGGCCCUGUGGGAUUUGAAAUUAUUAAAUGCUAACUUGAUGGAGUCAUAUUGUGCUUGUUUUCAUAAAAGGAUGGUAUUUAAGCUCGUAGCAUAUGAUAAACAUCACUCGAUCUUGAUGAUUUGUCAUUUUCUGUUGAGUUGAAAUGAUGUAGUGUUUAGUUUUCUUGGCCAUGGUCCUUUUUUCAUGUAUUGACUCAUCAAAAGUAGUUGCUUUCCUGUGUGUUUCGGGCAUCAUUCCCUCUCCUGAUUUAACAAGUGCAUAAUGUAGCAAGGGUUGUCGCACACCUUUUAGUUAUCUCACUUGAAUAUUUUGCAAUUUUAAAGAGAUCCUCAAGUGUAUAUGAAGUUGAGAUAGGCAGACAUUUGCCACCCUGUUACAUUUCUAAUACUUAAUUGUCUAUUACAAUUUUGGCCAAAGUGCUAUAAAUGAAUUUUUAAUGAGUAGUUACAAAUGAUAGGUACACGGUGCUUGAUUUAUCAUAGCAUUUAAGAGCUUUGUCUUUUCGGACGGUUCAUAUAUUUGUUAAACUUGGUAUAUGUUUUCUAGGGUGAUUAUAUAAUCAGUGAAACUUUUGAAACAUAUAAAUUUACAUGCCUUGUGCAUGGGGUAUCGUACUUUUUGUUGUAUACUCUAUCUACCCUAUUCGCUGCCAAAAUGACUUGAUGAAAGUUUUUAUCAACUACAAACUUUUUUUUCCUCAACUCUCCAUGCCAUGCUUACAGGACGGUGAUGGUGUGUAUGGACCCCCAAAAUUGGCUCCUGCUGCUAUAGAGGAAGAUAAGAUGUCAUGACAAGAGAGAAAUGCUUUGAGAAAAGAGAGAAAAUAUGCGACAAGCGAAUUGUGAAAUUCAUAUUUAUGCAUCUCAUGGUGUAACUAUUAAUCUUGAAUUCUUCAUCCUGAAUUUAUUUUUUGGGCAGCUAGAAGCUAGUGAAAAAAUGGAGAUAUUCAGGGGUUCCAAAUAUUUAAUGAGGCCGUGAAGCAUAUUUGGUCCAUCAAAGAAAAGAAGAAUUGAAUAAUCUAUGAGGAGGUACUUACAAUUGUAACCAGUGU
rnacentral:lncRNA from 1 species